rnacentral:lncRNA from 1 species
GCACAUGUGUGCAUGUGUAGAUAAGUGCACUUGCCCGCAUGUGCCUGCAGAGGCCAGAAGGGGACAAUCAGGUUCCUGUUCUCUUAUUUUUGACCUUAUUCCUUCAAGACCUUUCUCUCACUGAACCUGGGCCUUAUUAUGUUUUUCAGUUACAUUGGCUGGUCAGUCAGCAAACCUCAGCAUCUCUGGUCUCCACCCCUCCAACAACCCAGCUCUGGGGUUGCAAGCACAAAUGGCCAUACUUGCUGAUCAUUUUAUACGGAGAGUUGCUGGCUGCUUACACAAUCUAUUUCAGACCCUGAUGCCUGAAUUCUGCCGGGAAGUACCCUCUGAGUUCGGAAACCUAUGCGCCACCAUGGACAGAAGAUGGGAUUGAAAGACAGAUGAAUCUGACUCUUGUGUCAUGUAGAGUUAAGAUAUGUUUCUAUUCUGCAAUCUUGUGAGUGGAAUUCUAGGAAUGCGCCCUAGGCUUCUGAACUGGCCUAGGGAAACUUGAGUCACUUUCCCAGCCGUAGCAUUCAGAAGCUGUCUUUUGAGAGACAGCAUCUCUCAAACACUAAAGUGCAUAAGAACCCCUCUGGGGUUUUGAUAAAGUGUCAGAUCUGCCUCUGAGGGGUAGGACACUAAGUUUCUGCAUUUUUAAAGCUCUCAGGAGAUGCCCAUUCUGUUGGUGUGUCCUUAAGAACAUGGCCUCUGCCUCCCCCCCCCCCCCCCAAGGCCAGCUCGGAAUGUCAGAGCAGAUCAAAACUUCACAAAGUAGAUUUGGGCAGAGGACCCAAAAACCAUCCGAGCGAAAUGUAAUUGUGAGUGUGAAACAUGGCUUACUUUCCUUGUGAUUAAGGGCUUUGCCCAUGGAGGAUCGUGAGCUAGUCGUAUAGCACAUGUAACCACUUCUCUGAUUGGACAUUCACACAUGAUCACCUCUCUGGCUGGGCUUUGGGCUGAGUGAGCGUGUACAGGGAGUGUGUGACCUCCUUAUUGACUCAGCCCAAGGAAGCACUAAGAAAAUGACCAAUUCCAGUAGAGCUUACUCCAGUCUUCAUUUAUAUCACACUGUGAGAUUCAUUAAAUAUCACUUAAAGGGCAGCGCAAUACACGGUCCUCACUUGAAUAUAUCAUAUCAUAGACACUGUCUUCUUGUGGUGGUAAAAUUCCUUCACAAACGAAGCAUAAAUACAAAGUGUUGACUUUUAGCUCACAGUCCCAAAGGAAUACAGUCCGUCAUGGCAGGGAAUACAUGGCAGGAGGCAGGGAAGGCGUGGUACUAUGGAUAGGGCCUGGAUACUCAUGCUACAUCCACACAUGGGAAGCAGAGAAGGGAUAGGAAGAUGGGUCAGUGUAUAAAGUCUAGCUCCCGUGUCCCACUUCCUCCAUCAAGGCUCCACCUCCUAAGCAUUUCCCAACCUUCCCAAACAGCAGCACAAGUUGAGCACCAAGUUUUCAAACAUGUGGGCCUAUGGAGAAUAUUGCAUGUCCAAGCCAUAUCCCUCCUCCCCCUGGCUCCUCUAGGCUUAUGACCUUCCAUUGAGAUACAUUAAAUCCAACUUCAGAAACUCCCCAGUCUUUAGCAGUCCCUCCCCACCCUGAUCAAAGAGUUCAAAGAUUCUUGUGAUACUCAAAGCAAUUUUGCUCUUGAAAAGACUGUGUGUGUAGCUCACUGAACCUGCUGCAUCUCACCGAUUCAACCCCAUUAGCUGCCCGUUGAGUCUUUGGGAUCCUCCUGUCUCUGCCUUCCUCAUGUUAAGGUAAAAGUGCAGGAGAAUGCCACCAUGACUGUAUCCUUAAGCUCAGGUCCCCACAGUGCAGAGCAGUCACCUAGCCAGCUCCCUGAGCAUCUCUUCAGCCCCUUCCCUGCAUUUUCUGUUUCUCUUCCUAUUUCUGUCUUGGUUGCUAUUUCUCCUUUGCUCAGCUUUACUUAUAAGAGUCAUCUGUUGCCCAGCCUGGUUCAGAACCAAAAUCAAGUGAUUCUUCUGCCUCAACUCACUAGUAACGGGGACCCCAGACACUUAGACUCGUCUGGCUUCAGCUUCACCUUCAAGUGACAAAGGCCCACAGAACACAGAACAACACGCAAUGCCCUGACAUCUGAGGGAUGGGGAGCUGAUGCCCAGCAUUGCCAAGUGUCAGUUACAGGUUAAUUCUU